rnacentral:rRNA from 1 species
UAGCCCACCUGAGAGGGUGAUCGGCCACACUGGGACUGAGACACGGCCCAGACUCCUACGGGAGGCAGCAGUAGGGAAUCUUCCGCAAUGGACGAAAGUCUGACGGAACAACGCCCCGUGAGUGAUGAAGGUUUUCGGAUCGUAAAACUCUGUUGUUAGGGAAGAACAAGUACCGUUCGAAUAGGGCGGCACCUUGACGGUACCUAACCAGAAAGCCACGGCUAACUACCUGCCAGCAGCCGCGGUAAUACGUAAGUGGCAAGCGUUGUCCGGAAUUAUUGGGCGUAAAGCGCGCGCAGGCGGUUUCUUAAGUCUGAUGUGAAAGCCCCCGGCUCAACCGGGGAGGGUCAUUGGAAACUGGGGAACUUGAGUGCAGAAAAAGAAAGUGGAAUUCCACGUGUAGCGGUGAAAUGCGUAAAGAUGUGGAGGAACACCAGUGGCGAAAGCGACUCUCUGGUCUGUAACUGACGCUUAAGCGCGAAAGCGUGGGGAGCGAACAGGAUUAGAUACCCUGGUAGUCCACGCCGUAAACGAUGAGUGCUAAGUGUUAAAAG